GCGUUGGUGGUUUAGUGGUAAAAUCCGUCGUUGCCAUCCGAAGUCAUUCGGGGACGAUUCGACGGGCCCCGGGUUCGAUUCCCGGCCGACGCA